GACGAACGCUGGCGGCGUGCUUAACACAUGCAAGUCGAGCGGUAAGGCCCUUUCGGGGGUACACGAGCGGCGAACGGGUGAGUAACACGUGGGUGACCUGCCCUCAGCUCUGGGAUAAGCCUGGGAAACUGGGUCUAAUACCGGAUAUGACUCCAUGACGCAUGUUGUGGGGUGGAAAGCCUUGUGCGGCUGAGGAUGGGCCCGCGGCCUAUCAGCUUGUUGGUGGGGUGAUGGCCUACCAAGGCGACGACGGGUAGCCGGCCUGAGAGGGCGACCGGCCACACUGGGACUGAGACACGGCCCAGACUCCUACGGGAGGCAGCAGUGGGGAAUCUUGCGCAAUGGGCGAAAGCCUGACGCAGUGACGCCGCGUGAGGGAUGACGGCCU
rnacentral:rRNA from 1 species